ACGUGAGCAACCUGCCGUGAAGUGGGGGAUAGCUCGCCGAAAGGCGAAUUAAUACCGCAUGUGGCCAAGGAAGACAUCUUCCUGACGCCAAAGCCGGGGCAACCUGGCGCUUCUCGAGGGGCUCGCGGCCUAUCAGCUUGUUGGUGAGGUAACGGCUCACCAAGGCUAUGACGGGUAGCUGGUCUGAGAGGACGACCAGCCACACUGGAACUGAGACACGGUCCAGACACCUACGGGUGGCAGCAGUCGAGAAUUUUUCACAAUGGGGGAAACCCUGAUGGAGCGACGCCGCGUGGAGGAUGAAGGUUUUCGGAUUGUAAACUCCUGUCAUUAGAGAACAAGGCACACGGUUUAACUGGCCGUGUGUUGAUAGUAUCUGAAGAGGAAGAGACGGCUAACUCUGUGCCAGCAGCCGCGGUAAUACAGAGGUCUCAAGCGUUGUUCGGAUUCAUUGGGCGUAAAGGGUGCGUAGGUGGCGAUGUAAGUCGGAUGUGAAAUCUCCAAGCGUAACUUGGAAACUGCAUUCGAUACUGCGUUGCUAGAGGACAGUAGAGGG
rnacentral:rRNA from 1 species